rnacentral:rRNA from 1 species
CAUCCAGCUCCACUCCGAACCUGGAAAUUAAGCAGUCGCGGGCCACAUUUUUACUGGGCUGGGCGACUUCCCGGGAACGUGCGGUGCUUGCUUCUU